AUUGAACGCUGGCGGCAGGCUUAACACAUGCAAGUCGAGCGGAGAUGAGGUGCUUGCACCUUAUCUUAGCGGCGGACGGGUGAGUAAUGCUUAGGAAUCUGCCUAUUAGUGGGGGACAACAUUCCGAAAGGAAUGCUAAUACCGCAUACGCCCUACGGGGGAAAGCAGGGGAUCUUCGGACCUUGCGCUAAUAGAUGAGCCUAAGUCGGAUUAGCUAGUUGGUGGGGUAAAGGCCUACCAAGGCGACGAUCUGUAGCGGGUCUGAGAGGAUGAUGCGCCACACUGGGACUGAGACACGGCCCAGACUCCUACGGGAGGCAGCAGUGGGGAAUAUUGGACAAUGGGCGGAAGCCUGAUCUAGCCAUGCCGCGUGUGUGAAGAAGGCCUUUUGGUUGUAAAGCACUUUAAGCGAGGAGGAGGCUCUUAAGGUUAAUACCCUUGAUGAGUGGACGUUACUCGCAGAAUAAGCACCGGCUAACUCUGUGCCAGCCGCCGCGGUAAAAC
rnacentral:rRNA from 1 species